AGGAUCAUUAUCGAGUUUUGAAUGUGGGUUGUAGCUGGCCUUCCGAGGCAUGUGCACGCCCCGCUCAUCCACUCUACACCUGUGCACUUACUGUGGGCUUCAGGUCGUGAAGCGAGCCCUUUACCGGGCUCGCGGGAGCGCAUCUGUGCCUGCGUUUAUCACAAACCCUAUAAAGUAAUCGAAUGUGUAUUGCGAUGUAACGCAUCUAUAUACAACUUUCAGCAACGGAUCUCUUGGCUCUCGCAUCGAUGAAGAACGCAGCGAAAUGCGAUAAGUAAUGUGAAUUGCAGAAUUCAGUGAAUCAUCGAAUCUUUGAACGCACCUUGCGCUCCUUGGUAUUCCGAGGAGCAUGCCUGUUUGAGUGUCAUGAAAUCUUCAACCUACAAGCUUCUUAAUUGAGUUUGUAAGGCUUGGACUUGGAGGCUUGUCGGUCCCUGUAGGUCGGCUCCUCUUAAAUGCAUUAGCUUGGUUCCUUGCGGAUCGGCUUGUCGGUGUGAUAAUGUCUACGCCGCGACCGAGAAGCGUUUUGGCUGAGCUUCUAACCGUCUUGUUAUAAAGACAACAUUAUGACCUCUGACCUCAAAUCAGGUAGGACUACCCGCUGAACUUAAGCAUAUCAAU
rnacentral:rRNA from 1 species